rnacentral:rRNA from 1 species
UACGUAGGUGGCAAGCGUUGUCCGGAAUUAUUGGGCGUAAAGCGCGCGCAGGUGGUUUCUUAAGUCUGAUGUGAAAGCCCACGGCUCAACCGUGGAGGGUCAUUGGAAACUGGGGAACUUGAGUGCAGGAGAGAAGAGUGGAAUUCCACGUGUAGCGGUGAAAUGCGUAGAGAUGUGGAGGAACACCAGUGGCGAAGGCGACUCUUUGGCCUGUAACUGACACUGAGGCGCGAAAGCGUGGGGAGCGAACAGG